rnacentral:rRNA from 1 species
AUUGAACGCUAGCGGCAGGCCUAACACAUGCAAGUCGAACGAGCGGCGGACGGGUGAGUAAUGUAUGGGGACUGCCCGAUAGAGGGGGAUAAAUACAGGAAACGGUAGCUAAUACCGCAUACUAUCGGAUCACCCAUAUGGGCUUAGCUAGUAGGUGAGGUAAUGGCUCCCCUGGGCGACGAUCCAUAGCUGGGCUGAGAGGAUGAUCAGCCACACUCGGCCUGAGACACUGCCCAGACUCCUACGGAGGAAGCAGCGGGGAAUAUUGCACAAUGGGCGCAAGCCUGAUGCAGCCAUGCCGCGUGUAUGAAGAAGGCCCUAGGGUUGUAAAGUACUUUCAGUCGGGAGGCGUUACCGACAGAAGAAGCACCGGCUAACUCCGUGCCAGCAGCCGCGGUAAUUC